GAUGAACUCUGGCGGCGUGCCUAAUACAUGCAAGUCGAGCGAACAGACGAGGAGCUUGCUCCUCUGACGUUAGCGGCGGACGGGUGAUUAACACGUGGAUAACCUACCUAUAAGACUGGGAUAACUUCGGGAAACCGGAGCUAAUACCGGAUAAUAUAUUGAACCGCAUGGUUCAAUAGUGAAAGACGGUUUUGCUGUCACUUAUAGAUGGAUCCGCGCCGCAUUAGCUAGUUGGUAAGGUAACGGCUUACCAAGGCAACGAUGCGUAGCCGACCUGAGAGGGUGAUCGGCCACACUGGAACUGAGACACGGUCCAGACUCCUACGGGAGGCAGCAGUAGGGAAUCUUCCGCAAUGGGCGAAAGCCUGACGGAGCAACGCCGCGUGAGUGAUGAAGGUCUUCGGAUCGUAAAACUCUGUUAUUAGGGAAGAACAAAUGUGUAAGUAACUAUGCACGUCUUGACGGUACCUAAUCAGAAAGCCACGGCUAACUACGUG
rnacentral:rRNA from 1 species